AUUGAACGCUGGCGGCAGGCCUAACACAUGCAAGUCGAACGGUAACAGGAAGAAGCUUGCUUCUUUGCUGACGAGUGGCGGACGGGUGAGGAAUGUCUGGGAAACUGCCUGAUGGAGGGGGAUAACUACUGGAAACGGUAGCUAAUACCGCAUAACGUCUCAAGACCAAAAAGGGGGACCUUCGGGCCGCUUGCCAUCGGAUGUGCCCAGAUGGGAUUAGCUAGUAGGUGGGGUAACGGCUCACCUAGGCGACGAUCCCUAGCUGGUCUGAGAGGAUGACCAGCCACACUGGAACUGAGACACGGUCCAGACUCCUACGGGAGGCAGCAGUGGGGAAUAUUGCACAAUGGGCGCAAGCCUGAUGCAGCCAUGCCGCGUGUAUGAAGAAGGCCUUCGGGUUGUGAAGUACUUUCAGCGGGGAGGAAGGGAGUAAAGUUAAUCCCUUUGCUCAUUGACGUUACCCGAAGAAGAAGCACCGGCUAACUCCGUG
rnacentral:rRNA from 1 species